rnacentral:rRNA from 2 species
UACGAAGGUGGCAAGCGUUGUUCGGAUUUACUGGGCGUACAGGGAGCGUAGGCGGUUGGGUAAGCCCUCCGUGAAAUCUCCGGGCCUAACCCGGAAAGUGCGGAGGGGACUGCUCGGCUAGAGGAUGGGAGAGGAGCGCGGAAUUCCCGGUGUAGCGGUGAAAUGCGUAGAGAUCGGGAGGAAGGCCGGUGGCGAAGGCGGCGCUCUGGAACAUUUCUGACGCUGAGGCUCGAAAGCGUGGGGAGCAAACAGG